rnacentral:rRNA from 1 species
CAUGCAAGUCGAGCGGAAACGACACUAACAAUCCUUCGGGUGCGUUAAUGGGCGUCGAGCGGCGGACGGGUGAGUAAUGCCUAGGAAAUUGCCUUGAUGUGGGGGAUAACCAUUGGAAACGAUGGCUAAUACCGCAUAAUGCCUACGGGCCAAAGAGGGGGACCUUCGGGCCUCUCGCGUCAAGAUAUGCCUAGGUGGGAUUAGCUAGUUGGUGAGGUAAUGGCUCACCAAGGCGACGAUCCCUAGCUGGUCUGAGAGGAUGAUCAGCCACACUGGAACUGAGACACGGUCCAGACUCCUACGGGAGGCAGCAGUGGGGAAUAUUGCACAAUGGGCGAAAGCCUGAUGCAGCCAUGCCGCGUGUAUGAAGAAGGCCUUCGGGUUGUAAAGUACUUUCAGUUGUGAGGAAGGGGGUAGCGUUAAUAGCGCUAUCUCUUGACGUUAGCAACAGAAGAAGCACCGGCUAACUCCGUGCCAGCAGCCGCGGUAAUACGGAGGGUGCGAGCGUUAAUCGGAAUUACUGGGCGUAAAGCGCAUGCAGGUGGUUCAUUAAGUCAUAUGUGAAAGCCCCGGGCUCAACCACGGAACUGCCUUUGAAACUGGUGAACUACAGUACUGUUGAGGGGGGUAGAAU